CACUUUAUGUUAUUAUGUGCUCAAAAUACUAGUGCCAUCAUACCACUUAUAAUGUCUAUGGAAGCUAUAUUUUUCAUUAUCUGUACCGGAAGUGUAAGUUUGUCAAUGUAUCCAAUUUUGAAGAAUAGACUUCCUUCUGGUCUUGUCAGCGGAACCGAUCACAUGUUGUUUUCUUUAAAAUCCCAAAUUAUAAUAGGUUAUGGGCCCAGAGCGUUUCUGGCUACUAUUCAAUUAGUUCUCGCGACAGUUGUUAUUGUGGACAUUGAUAACAGUUGCAGUAAGUGGAAAGAAUUGUUUUUUGUGGAUUUGUGCAGUGUCGGUUAGUAGGUACUUGAGAUUUGAACUGAAAAUUCAAAAUGGCAUCAUCGAACUAUUUGGUGAAUGUACCUAAACUAAGAGGACGAGAAAAUUAUUGUGAAUGGUGUUUCGCGGCGGAAAACUUCUUGAUUUUGGAAGGAACGCUAGAAUGCAUCAAGCCAGAAGCAGGUCAAGCGCCAGUUGCACCCACGGAUGACGCUAAAACCAGAGCCAAAUUGAUCUUAACGAUAGAUCCCUCCAUUUAUGUUCAUAUCAGAGAAGUAAAAUCUACGAAGGAACUAUGGGAAAAAUUGAAGUCGCUGUAUGAUGAUUCUGGAUUCACGAGAAGGAUAAGCCUAUUGAGAAAUCUAAUUUCAAUAAGACUGGAUGACUGUGAUUCCAUGAAUUCAUAUGUAACUCAAUUAGUGGAGACGGGUCAGAAAUUGGCUGGGACUGGCUUCAACAUUAACGACGAGUGGAUUGGCUCUUUGUUACUGGCUGGAUUACCCGAUAAAUUUUCGCCAAUGAUUAUGGCGAUUGAACACUCUGGCAUCAGUAUCACGACGGAUUCAAUCAAAUCUAAAUUAUUAGACAUGGAGUCUGAAGUUCGUGUUGAAAGUGCUGCAUUUGGUUCGUUCCAUAGUAACAAAAGUCAAUGGUACCAACAUAAGAGAAAUGUCAAAUCAAAUGACAAGGGAGACAAAACCAAAGACAAAAAUCGCGGUAAAGAUGGCGACCAGUUGUCAAAGUCGAACAUAAAAUGUUUCCGAUGUAAACAAAUGGGACACUAUCGUAAUCAGUGUACGAAUUCAGUGAAUACCAAAGAAAUGGAUCGAAAACAGACGAACGCAUUCAGUGCUGUGUUUCUGAGCGGUUUUUAUAGUAAAUCUGAUUGGUAUGUCGAUUCCGGCGCCAGCGUACAUCUGACGACGAAUGAACAUUGGAUCGUAAACCCAUCUUACGAACAUAGUAUGAAGGAAAUUGUGGUUGCCAACGAGAGUAAAGUUCCAGUAAAAUGUUGCGGUGAAGUAAACAUUACUACUUGUACUGAUGAAUGCAAUUUCGAUGUGACAGUGGAAGAGGUUAUGUGUGUACCGAGUCUCACAACUAAUCUUCUAUCUGUGAGCCAACUUAUAAAGAAGGGAAACAAAGUGGACUUCAGAGCGGGCGGUUGUGAUAUUUAUAAUCGAAAGGGAGUUUUGGUGGCGACAGCGAUCCUGGUCAAUGGUGUUUACAGACUCAAUUCGCCAGUGCCUCUGUCAGCAGUGGCUGUGGUUUCCAGUGAAACUUGGCACCGAAGGUUGGGGCACGUCAAUAGCUCCUACCUGAAUAAAAUGAAGGAUGCUGUGGAAGGUUUUAUUAUGGAUGAUAAGGCAGUGACAAGUAAAAAUUCCUGCGUUACUUGCUGUGAAGGAAAACAAACUCGCCUGCCCUUCCCGAGUAAUGGAAAUAGAAGCAGUCAGUUGCUGGAGGUAAUUCAUAGUGAUGUGUGCGGACCUAUGGAGAGCUGCUCUAUUGGAGGAUCAAGAACCGAACAGUAUCAGCGGGUUUAAACGACAAAACGCCUUAUGAGCUGUGGACUAAUAAGAAACCUGAUAUUAGUCAUCUUCGUGUAUUUGGGAGUACUUGCAUGGUUCAUAUACCGAAAGAAAAAAGGUUAAAGUGGGACAAAAAAUCAGUCAAAUGUAUUCUAGUGGGCUAUCCAGAUAAUAUUAAAGGAUACAGAGUGUAUAAUCCCCAUACCAAGUCAAUAACAUGCAGUCGAGAUGUCAUAAUAAUUGAAAAAGAAUUGCCAGUGAGCAAUGUGACAGCUACUGUUGAAAACUUGGACUUGGAUGCUCCUUAUGUCGAAGAAGAAGAGGAAACAUCAGAUGCAGUGGGGGACAAUUGUCAGUCAGAUGACUCCUUUUUGUCUUCAGCAAAUUAUACAGAAGAUCCAUCUUAUGUGCCGAGUGAGAAUGAAGAAACUGACAGUUCUACGGAGAACACGGAGAGUGUGGUAAAAGUGAUACCUGCUAGAGAAAGGCGAAAACCAGACAGGUAUGGUUUCUCUAAUAUGUGUAUAGACACUUCCGGUUCCGGCGCAGAUGACAAUGAACUCACUUUAGAGGAAGCCCUACAAUGUCCAGAAAGAGAACAUUGGUUGCGUGCUGUCAAAGAGGAGUUGCAGAGUUUUCAUGAUAACUGUGCAUGGGAGCUCGUAGACCCUCCUAAAGAAGGAACUGUUGUAAAGUGCAAGUGGGUGCUAAAAAAGAAGUAUGAUAAGGACAAUAAUGUUUGUUAUCGUGCCAGACUGGUAGCAAAGGGUUAUAAUCAAAAAUAUGGAAUUGAUUACAAUGAAACCUUCUCCCCAGUAGUCCGUCACUCUACACUAAGAUUAUUGUUUGCUUUGGCAGUACAACUAGAUUUGGAAACAUCUCAUUUAGAUGUUAAGACUGCCUUCCUAAAUGGAGAAUUGGAGGAGACCAUAUUUAUGCAGAAACCAGAUGGUUUUGAGUAUUAUAAUGAUAAUGUGAAUGAAAAUAAAGUUCUUGAGUUACACAAAGCUAUAUAUGGUCUCAAGCAAUCCUCUAGGGCGUGGCAUAAAAAAGUAGAUAGUGUGAUGUUAUGUAGUGGUUAUAGAAAAUCAAAAAUUGAGCCAUGUUUAUAUACAAAAAUUGUUAAUGGUCUUAGGACAAUAGUAACAUUGUAUGUUGAUGAUUUUUUUAUUUUUUCAAAUGAUAAAUCUGAAAUGGCUCUGUUAAAACAAACUUUAAGCAGUAAAUUUAAGAUUAAAGAUUUAGGAGAAAUUAAAAAAUGUCUUGGUAUGAAUGUAAACAUAGAUAAAGUGAAUAAUGUUAUUACAUUGAGUCAGGAAAACUAUAUUAAUGAGUUGUUGCAUAAAUUUAAUAUGAACGAAUGUAAAACUUUUGAGACUCCUAUGGAGCCUAGAUUAAAUAUUGUUAAAAAUGAAGGGCAGAAGUGUGAUAACCCUUAUCAGCAACUUAUAGGUAGCCUCAUGUAUCUUGCUGUUCUUACAAGGCCUGAUAUUUCAUAUGCUGUAGGAUAUUUAAGUCAAUUUAAUAAUUGUUCUAAUAGUGAGCACUGGUCCUAUGCUAAAAGAAUAUUAAAAUAUUUAAAGGGGAGUAAAAAGAUAGGUUUAAAAUAUUGUAAAAAUGGUAAUGUUGAUAUCGUGGGUUAUGUUGAUAGUGAUUGGGGAAAUUGUUCAGAGGAUAGAAAAUCUUACUCAGGUUACUGUUUCAUGUUAUCGGGUUCUGUCAUAUCAUGGAGUUGUAAGAAGCAGAGAACAGUGGCACUCUCUAGCACAGAGGCCGAAUACAUGGCACUUACAGAAGGUUGUCGUGAAUCUGUAUAUCUUAGAAACUUGCAAAGUGAGAUUACUGAAAGAUUAUAUACAAUUGAAUUAUAUAAUGAUAAUCAAAGUGCAAAAAAAUUGUCAGAAAAUCCUAUUUUUCACAAUAGGACUAAACACAUUGAUAUCCGUUAUCACUAUUGUAGAGAAGUAGUUUCUAAUGGUAUAGUUAAAGUUAGUUAUUUGCCUACAAGUGACAUGCCAGCAGACAUGUUUACAAAAAGCUUGAAUUUUAUUAAACAUAGAAAGUUUAUGAACAUUUUAGGUAUUGUUAAUGUCUGUUGUAAUUAAUGUAAAUUGAGAUUUUGAGAGUGGGGGUGUUAUUAUGUGCUCAAAAUACUAGUGCCAUCAUACCACUUAUAAUGUCUAUGGAAGCUAUAUUUUUCAUUAUCUGUACCGGAAGUGUAAGUUUGUCAAUGUAUCCAAUUUUGAAGAAUAGACUUCCUUCUGGUCUUGUCAGCGGAACCGAUCA